rnacentral:snRNA from 1 species
GGAUGUCUGGCAGAUCUGGCUGUGACAUCAGUCACCCCACUGAUCUCCAGGGUUGAUCUGGCUGGUUAGGCGGGUGUCUCCUUCCUCCCUCACUGCUCCACGUGCGUCCCUCCAAAAGCUGCAUGCUCGGUUGAAGAGGACAAGCAUCCCCCAUAGAGGAGGACCGGUCUCCGGUCAAAGAUAUAUGAGUAGCUGUGCUCCCCUGUGAGAAUCUCCAAAUAAGCUCUCAAGGAAAAGGGGUUACGUCCAAAGUGCUCACUCCCCAUUUCCACAUCCAGUCU